rnacentral:rRNA from 1 species
UGGGGAAUAUUGCACAAUGGGCGCAAGCCUGAUGCAGCAACGCCGCGUGAGGGAUGACGGCCUUCGGGUUGUAAACCUCUUUUAGCAGGGAAGAAGCGAAAGUGACGGUACCUGCAGAAAAAAGCACCGGCUAACUACGUGCCAGCAGCCGCGGUAAUACGUAGGGUGCAANCGUUGUCCGGAAUUNUUGGGCGUAAAGAGCUCGUAGGCGGUCUGUCGCGUCUGCUGUGAAAUCCCCGAGGCUCAACCUCGGGCCUGCAGUGGGUACGGGCAGACUAGAGUGCGGUAGGGGAGAAUGGAACUCCUGGUGUAGCGGUGGAAUGCGCAGAUAUCAGGAAGAACACCGAUGGCGAAGGCAGUUCUCUGGGCCCGUAACUGACGCUGAGGAGCGAAACGCGUGGGGAGCGAACAGGAUUAGAUACCCUGGUAGUCCACGCCGUAAACGUUGGGCGCUAGAUGUGGGGACCAUUCCACGGUUUCCGUGUCG